rnacentral:rRNA from 1 species
UACAGAGGUCUCAAGCGUUGUUCGGAUUCAUUGGGCGUAAAGGGUGCGUAGGCGGCGCGGUAAGUCGGGUGUGAAAUCUCGGAGCUUAACUCCGAAACUGCAUUCGAUACUGCCGUGCUUGAGGACUGGAGAGGAGACUGGAAUUUACGGUGUAGCGGUGAAAUGCGCAGAUAUUAGGAAGAACACCGGUGGCGAAGGCGGCUCUCGUGGAACGGUACUGACGGCUGAGACGCGAAA